UGUACUCUUUUUUCCUUGUCAUGGUUUUUGUCCCAAUGGGUUUUUCCAUGAUUAGGUUUUUAACGAGGCACUACGUAAUACAAGUUUGGAUAAUCAAGGGGGAGUGUUAUAAUAUAGAUGAUUAUCCAAAAGACACAUGUCUCACUUCAACACCAUCUUGUCAUAAGCAUGUAUCUUUGUGUCUGUAGAGAAGAGAUGACUAAGCAUUAUAUUUUGUACUAUAAAAAGAUGUGU
rnacentral:lncRNA from 1 species